UAUCAUUAGCGGAGGAAAAGAAACCAACAGGGAUUGCCUCAGUAACGGCGAGUGAAGCGGCACAAGCUCAAAUUUGAAAUCUGGCCCCCUCGGGGCCCGAGUUGUAAUUUGUAGAAGAUGCUUCGGGUGUGGUUCCGGUCUAAGUUCCUUGGAACAGGACGUCAUAGAGGGUGAGAAUCCCGUAUGUGACUGGGUACCUUCGCCCGUGUGAAGCUCUUUCGACGAGUCGAGUUGUUUGGGAAUGCAGCUCAAAAUGGGUGGUAAAUUUCAUCUAAAGCUAAAUAUUGGCCAGAGACCGAUAGCGCACAAGUAGAGUGAUCGAAAGAUGAAAAGCACUUUGGAAAGAGAGUUAAACAGUACGUGAAAUUGUUGAAAGGGAAGCGCUUGCAAUCAGACUUGCGCCUAGUUGAUCAUCCGGGCUUCUGCCCGGUGCACUCGAUUAGGCUCAGGCCAGCAUCGGUUUGGGUGGUUGGAUAAAGGCCUUGGGAACGUAGCCUCCUUCGGGGGGUGUUAUAGCCCUCGGCGCAAUGCAGCCUACCUGGACCGAGGACCGCGCCUUCGGGCUAGGAUGCUGGCGUAAUGGUUGUAAGCGACCCGUCUUGAAACACGGACCAAGGAGUUGACCUAAUUAGCGAGUGUUUGGGUGUCAAACCCAUACGCGUAAUGAAAGUGAACGGAGGUGAGAACCCUCGAGGGUGCAUCAUCGACCGAUCCUGAUGUCUUCGGAUGGAUUUGAGUAAGAGCUAAUUGGGUCUGACCCGAAAGAUGGUGAUCUAUACGUGAAUAGGGUGAAGCCAGAGGAAACUCUGGUGGAGGCUCGCAGCGGUUCUGACGUGCAAAUCGAUCGUCAAAUUUGCGUAUA
rnacentral:rRNA from 1 species